AGCAAGUCGACGGUAGCACAGAGAGCUUGCUCUCGGGUGACGAGUGGCGGACGGGUGAGUAAUGUCUGGGAAACUGCCUGAUGGAGGGGGAUAACUACUGGAAACGGUAGCUAAUACCGCAUAACGUCGCAAGACCAAAGAGGGGGACCUUCGGGCCUCUUGCCAUCAGAUGUGCCCAGAUGGGAUUAGCUAGUAGGUGGGGUAACGGCUCACCUAGGCGACGAUCCCUAGCUGGUCUGAGAGGAUGACCAGCCACACUGGAACUGAGACACGGUCCAGACUCCUACGGGAGGCAGCAGUGGGGAAUAUUGCACAAUGGGCGCAAGCCUGAUGCAGCCAUGCCGCGUGUAUGAAGAAGGCCUUCGGGUUGUAAAGUACUUUCAGCGGGGAGGAAGGCGGUGAGGUUAAUAACCUCAUCGAUUGACGUUACCCGCAGAAGAAGCACCGGCUAACUCCGUGCCAGCAGCCGCGGUAAUACGGAGGGUGCAAGCGUUAAUCGGAAUUACUGGGCGUAAAGCGCACGCAGGCGGUCUGUCAGUCGGAUGUGAAAUCCCCGGGCUCAACCUGGGAACUGCAUUCGAAACUGGCAGGCUAGAGUCUUGUAGAGGGGGGUAGAAUUCCAGGUGUAGCGGUGAAAUGCGUAGAGAUCUGGAGGAAUACCGGUGGCGA
rnacentral:rRNA from 1 species